rnacentral:rRNA from 1 species
GACGAACGCUGGCGGCGUGCCUAAUACAUGCAAGUCGAGCGAAGUUUUUCUGGUGCUUGCACUAGAAAAACUUAGCGGCGCACGGGUGAGUCACACGUAAAGAACCUGCCUCAUAGACUGGGACAACUAUUGGAAACGAUAGCUAAUCCCGGAUAACAGUAUUUCUCGCAUGAGAGAUAUUUAAAAGUUGGUUAUGCUAACACUAUGAGAUGGCCUUGCGGUGCAUUAGCUAGUUGGUGGGGUAAAGGCCCACCAAGGCGACGAUGCAUAGCCGACCUGAGAGGGUGAUCGGCCACACUGGGACUGAGACACGGCCCAGACUCCUACGGGAGGCAGCAGUAGGGAAUCUUCCGCAAUGGGCGAAAGCCUGACGGAGCAACGCCGCGUGAGUGAAGAAGGAUUUCGGUUCGUAAAGCUCUGUUGUUAGGGAAGAAUGGAUGUGUAGUAACUAUACAUGUAAGAGACGGUACCUAACCAGAAAGCCACGGCUAACUACGUG